rnacentral:lncRNA from 1 species
GAUUUUUCGGGGGAUGAAGAAGGAUUCCUUGCGGGAUGCAGCCUCUUGCUCUUGUUAAAUCCCUAAUUUUUGGCUAGACCGCCCUUUCGGGUUUUCAGUCUACCGGGAUGCCCAUUUUUGCAUAAUUUUCUAUUUUGAGUUUUCAACAUAUCAGACUUUCUCUCUUUUUUUUUUCUUUUUUUUAAGCAUAGCAUUUUUUACGGCAUCCGCAUUCACCAGGGAUGGAAGAUCUUCA